rnacentral:rRNA from 1 species
GAUGAACGCUGGCGGCGUGCCUAAUACAUGCAAGUCGAGCGAACAGAUUAGGUGCUUGCUCCUCUGACGUUAGCGGCGGACGGGUGAGUAACACGUGGAUAACCUACCUAUAAGACUGGGAUAACUUCUGGAAACCGGUGCUAAUACCGGAUAAUAUAUUUAACCGCAUGGUUCAAUAGUGAAAGAUGGUUUUGCUUUCACUUAUAGAUGGAUCCGCGUCGCAUUAGCUAGUUGGUAAGGUAACGGCGUACCAAGGCAACGAUACAUAGCCGGACUGAGAGGGUGAUCGGCAACAGUGGGACUGAGACACGGGCCAAAAUCAUACGGGAGGAAGCAGUAGGGAAUAUUCGGAAAGGGACGAAAGUCUGAACGAGCAACGCCGAGUGAGUGAAGAAGGUUGUCGGAUCGAAAAAAUCUGUUGGUAGAGAAGAAAGUUGGUGAGAGUGGAAAGCUCAUCAAGUGACGGUAAAGAACCAGAAAGGGACGGCUAACUACGUG